rnacentral:rRNA from 1 species
AUGGAGCCCCUCCAACGGCUCCUAGAAGUUGCAGUGGACAUAGGGGUGCUCUCCAAGCUUCAGGAUCGGCUGCCGCAGCUGCGUACCUCCCUAUACGCCGAUGAUGUCGCCCUCUUCCUCAACCCCGUGAAGACCGAGCUAGCCGCUCUCCGCUCCAUCCUCGCUGCCUUUGGGUUGGCUUCCGGGCUCAAGGUCAACUUUGAGAAGAGUGUUGUCCUCCCCAUAAGAUGUCAGCAGUUGGACGUGCAUGAUGUGAUCUCACCCUUGAGGGCUAGGGUUGAGAGCUUUCCCUGCAAAUUAUUGGGGUUGCUGCUGUCGCUUUGGACUCUGCGUAAGGUGGACCUGCAGCCACUGCUUGACAAGCUCCGCGCGCGCUUGGCGCGUUGGAAGGCCAGACUCCUCACCCUUGCUGGCAGGCUCGUUCUCCUCAACUCCGUCCUCUCAGCAUUUACCGUCUACUAGUCGGCCGUCUACGCACUACCGCCCUGGGUUCGUAAGGAGCUGGACCGGCUUCGACGUGCCUGGUUAUGGCGCGGGGAGGAUACGUGCCACGGCGGGCACUGCAAGGUCGCGUGGGGUCGUGUAUGCCGCCCGCGUGACCUUGGCAGGCUCGAUGUCGUCGACCUGGAGUGUUUUGAUGUGGCGCUUCGCCUUCGCUGGCUUUGGGCGGAAAGGACCUCGGUCGUUCCCUGGCAUGGGCUACCGGUCCCGGUGACACUCGCGGAGCGGCGCAUGUUCGCGGCAGCCUGGGCGGUCACCAUCGGGGAUGGCAACCGAGCCAGUUUCUGGUAUGAUGGCUGGCUACCUGAGGGGGCGCCGCUCAUGAUCACCCUCGACCUAUUCGUGGUUUCCAGACGCAAGGUGCGCUCCGUGCGUCAAGCACUGUCAGGUGACAGAUGGAUCCAAGACCUCCGCGGCCGGGUCACCACCGACUUGUUGCCUUCCUUCGUGAGGCUAUGGGUGUGUGUCAACUCCAGGCAGCCGCUCACCCCGGACACCGUGAACUCCUUUUGGUGGAGAUUAACGGACAAUGGCGUCUACACGGCAGCUUCCGCGUACAAGCUAUUCUUCAUCGGAUCCACUAUUUUCCCAUUGAGUCAGGAGAUCUGGAAAGCCUAG